GUGGAUUAGAUACCCUAGUAGUCCUGGCCCUAAACGAUGUCGACUAGAUCGUAGUGCCUCUGACGGUAUUACGGUCGAAGCAAAAGUGCUAAGUCGACCGCCUGGGAAGUACGGUCGCAAGGCUAAAACUCAAAGGAAUUGACGGGGGCUCACACAAGCGGUGGAGCAUGUGGUUUAAUUCGAAGCAACGCGCAGAACCUUACCUGGGCUUGACAUGCUAGGAUUAUCUCGGUGAAAGCCGAGUAGGCCCCGCAAGGGGUACAACGAGUACAGGUGCUGCACGGCUGUCGUCAGCU
rnacentral:rRNA from 1 species